rnacentral:sRNA from 1 species
AGCCUGGUCUAGUGGCAGCAGGGUACCAGAACUUACCAACAUUAGUGUCACUGAAGUCAGUAUACGAUCCCCUCACUGCUAAAUUUGACUGCUUUAA